UUUUUGAUAUACUAUUUAAGGCUAUAUUUGUUUGGGUAUACUACAUAAUUUCUCUUAAGUAGUUUUAUGAAAAAUCAUCUAACCUUUGUAGGUCGAUUGAUUGAUCCUGAACAUUUUUGGCUAUUUGAUCACAACUUUGAGACACUUUUCAUAAAACAUUUUUAUGAUCGUUAACAUUUUUGCAACACAUAGACUGUAAUAUAAGAACUUUAUUAGAUAGUGCCUUCAGGCACGGGCAAUCUCUGUUAUUUUUUAAAAAGGUGUUAUUUUUAAAAUGAAAGUGGUAUUUGAUGAAUCUUUUUUCUCUUUGUUUCACUUUUUCAGGUUGGUGAUGAUAUACGGACGAUGAUCCAAGUUAGGUUUUUUUUCCAAUCAAUUUGUUUCGUAUGAAUAAAAAUUUCAGCAUCGACAACCACCCUCCCUUCGAACUCGCACUCGCAAGAUCAGUUUAUUGCAUUCCAGUAGAUCAGUUUAUGGCUAUGUCUGGUUUGUCUAUAUGGUUGCAACACCACCACCGCUGCUCAUCAUCACCACUGCCGCUGUUGAUGCAAAACCCACUUCAUGCUCAAACAGAAUGUGUUCAAGGAAAGCUUCAAAUCUGGCCAUAGAGCAAAUGAAGAUGUUCACUUGAUAGUGAGGAAAUCUCUAGUCCUCGAUUUCUGCCUCUCGAACUCGGCUCGCAAGG